rnacentral:misc_RNA from 1 species
GCCAGCCACCAAAGCAUUUUGAGGCACUCGUGGAGGAGCACUUGAGGCAACGAUCUCAAUAUAUUCUAUCAGCUUAUAAAGCAUAUAUGGAAGGAGCUCCAGUAGCAUACCCUUUUGGUGGUGGACAGAUUGAGAAUGAAAGUCAAAAGGGCAGUUCUACAGGGUUCAAAAUCAUGCUUGCUAAGCUCUUCCCAAAACUUGUGGAGGCAUUUUCUGCUAAAGGAAUUGAUUGCAGCCAAUUC